GGUUAUGAUUUUACAAAUUAGGCACCAAAACAUCAUGUUAUACAACAAAUUUGACAGAAAAAGUAGUUCAAUACGCAGUAAUACUAUGUAGUAAUUACUGUAUUUACGAAUUAGCACCAAAAUAUCACGAUGUAUUGAAAACAGUGACUACAAAAAUGCAUUGGAUAAUUCAGAAUGUUGGAUAAGCGAGUGUCUGAUAAGUGAGACUCUAUAUUAAUUUGUAAUUUUUUUCAUGUCAGGAGCGACUUGAGAAUUCGCCAUCUGCAAGGACGUUGCCCAGGGGACGCCCGGAUGUUUUGAUGUUUUUUUCCCAUCCUUGUGGGAGGCUUCUUUCAUGUCCCCGUAUGAGGAGCUGGAGCUGACAGAGGGAGCUCAUCCGCGCAUUCGAACUGGCAACCUUCAGCAACAGAGCCAGAGAGACUGGAUCUCCUUUCACAAGGAUAUAAGCCACAGUUGGAAAUUUCACACAAUGGAAGAGCAACAUGCUACCCAACUGAAUAUUACCAGAUGAGACAGAUUACAUGGUGACAAAAUUUUAUCAGAGAGAAGCAAUAGGAUCCAUUCAAGAGAAUAUGUGUAACCCCAGAUUUUCAGAAGACCAACUAACUGCAUUUAUUAUGACUAUGUUGUUUUUGUGUGUGAACUUCACGUGACAUGAAGGUGAAGCUCUUAAUGGGCUUGAUUGGAGAUAUUUGUUCAGAAGGUGUUUGCCUUUGUUUUCCUCUGAGGCUGAGACAAUGUAACCUUUGCAGAAGAGUGUCACAGUCCAGCAAGGCAUCAAACCUUGAACUCCAGUCAUACGACUUCAUCACAUUGAGAUGGGAAAGCACGGAUGACCGUCCUCUUAGCAUAGAGAUCGUCAGCUGCAGGGCCAGCCCUAGGUAACUUUCAAGUGUAAGCGAACAGAAUUUUGCCCCCUCCCCAAACCAUAGUCCAGCAUCAUGCUGGCUCUGCUGCAAGAAAUGUACAUGAAAUAUAUGUCAUUCUGCUUCCAUUUAUAAUGUGAAAUUGGAAUUUCUGUGAAAUUAAUUCAAGAUUGAUGGUGGUUGAACAACAAAUAUAUUUAAAAUUGAAGAACAGCAAUAUAUUUUUAUUAGAGCUUCAUUGAACUGGUUGACAGUGAAAGCAACUGGCUAACUAGCAAGCAUGGGACAAAUUGUAAACUGUAGGAUUUUUAAAUGAAUCAAAUUUGAAAGGAUUUUUGAUACAAAUAUAUAUUUUUAAAAAUAAUUUUUAUUGAGAGGUCUCCAACAAAUAUCUUUUUCUUGAAAGGAAAAUGCGUCCUGUGUUGAUUUCUCCUAGCAAUGAAGAUUACCUUGUUAUAUUCAGUUUCCUUCACUGGGAUAUUUUAAUCUAAUGAUUUUAUCUUAUAUUGCUGCUAUAGUCCCCCCACCUUUGAAGUUGACUGAAUUGCAUUGGUGGUUGUUUGAUAUUAUUACUAUUGAUAUUAUUACUGUUGUUUAAAUCUCUGUUUUAACUUGUUUUAUCAUCUUCUUGUGUUUUAAACUGUGUGUAUUGUUAAUGUAUUUGUGCUGUUACUUUUGUAACAUUGUGAGCCGCCCCGAGUCCCCACGGGGAGAUGGUGGCAGGGUAUAAAUAAAGUUUUAUUAUUAUUAUUAUUA